rnacentral:tRNA from 1 species
GCGUCUGUAGCCUAGUUGGUAAAGGCAGCACUCUAGUAUGUGUCUCAGUUUAGCUGAGGUCGUGAGUUCGACUCUCACCAGACACA